GACGAACGCUGGCGGCGUGCUUAACACAUGCAAGUCGAACGGAAAGGCCCUGCUUUUGUGGGGUGCUCGAGUGGCGAACGGGUGAGUAACACGUGAGUAACCUGCCCUUGACUUUGGGAUAACUUCAGGAAACUGGGGCUAAUACCGGAUAGGAGCUCCUGCUGCAUGGUGGGGGUUGGAAAGUUUCGGCGGUUGGGGAUGGACUCGCGGCUUAUCAGCUUGUUGGUGGGGUAGUGGCUUACCAAGGCUUUGACGGGUAGCCGGCCUGAUAGGGUGACCGGCCACAUUGGGACUGAGAUACGGCCCAGACUCCUACGGGAGGCAGCAGUGGGGAAUAGUGCACAAUGGGCGGAAGCCUGAUGCAGCAACGCCGCGUGCGGGAUGACGGCCUUCGGGUUGUAAACCGCUUUCGCCUGGGACGAAGCGUGAGUGACGGUAAUGGGUAAAGAAGCACCGGCUAACUACGUG
rnacentral:rRNA from 1 species